rnacentral:rRNA from 1 species
CAGCAGCCGCGGGAAUACCGAGGGUGCGAGCGUUAAUCGGAUUUACUGGGCGUAAAGCGUGCGUAGGCGGCUUCUUAAGUCGGAUGUGAAAUCCCUGAGCUUAACUUAGGAAUUGCAUUCGAUACUGGGAAGCUAGAGUAUGGGAGAGGAUGGUAGAAUUCCAGGUGUAGCGGUGAAAUGCGUAGAGAUCUGGAGGAAUACCGAUGGCGAAGGCAGCCAUCUGGCCUAAUACUGACGCUGAGGUACGAAAGCAUGGGGAGCAAACAGGAUUAGAUACCCCUGUAGUCCCUGUCUCUUAUAA